AAAAAUUGAUCUAAAUUUGCUAACACAGGGAAUUCGAGAUGAACACAAAUAAAAUUUUCAACAACUAAACAGUUCCAACAAAAUUAUUCCAAAAAGUGGAAAAUCAGUAAAUCCUUGCAAAAAAAAUAAAAAUAAAAUCAACAAUCAUUUAUACAAUGAGCAAGUAAAUUCAACAAUCAUUUAGAUGAUGAACAAACUCAAACACAAUCCAAUAUUUUGUCUCUGCUUCAACAAUCA
rnacentral:misc_RNA from 1 species